GACGAACGCUGGCGGCGUGCUUAACACAUGCAAGUCGAACGGAGUGGCGAACGGGUGAGUAACACGUGGGUGACCUGCCCUGCACUUCGGGAUAAGCCUGGGAAACUGGGUCUAAUACCGGAUAGUGUGGGAUGGGCCCGCGGCCUAUCAGUUUGUUGGGGGGGUAAUGGCCUACCAAGGCGGCGACGGGUAGCCGGCCUGAGAGGGUGGACGGCCACAUGGGGACUGUGACGCGGCCCAGACUCCGACGGGAGGCAGCAGUGGGGAAUAGUGCACAAUGGGCGGAAGCCUGAUGCAGCGACGCCGCGUGGGGGAUGACGGCCAUCGGGUUGUAAACUCCUUUCACCAUCGACGCGGUAUCUAGCCGGAGGGCCACGGCUAACUACGGGCCAGCAGCCGGGGUAAUAC
rnacentral:rRNA from 1 species